rnacentral:rRNA from 1 species
AACGCUAGCUACAGGCUUAACACAUGCAAGUCGAGGGGAAACGAUAUUGGAAGCUUGCUUCCGAUAGGCGUCGACCGGCGCACGGGUGAGUAACGCGUAUCCAACCUGCCCACCACUUGGGGAUAACCUUGCGAAAGUAAGACUAAUACCCAAUGAUAUCUCUAGAAGACAUCUGAAAGAGAUUAAAGAUUUAUCGGUGAUGGAUGGGGAUGCGUCUAAUUAGCUUGUUGGCGGGGUAACGGCCCACCAAGGCAACGAUCAGUAGGGGUUCUGAGAGGAAGGUCCCCCACAUUGGAACUGAGACACGGUCCAAACUCCUACGGGAGGCAGCAGUGAGGAAUAUUGGUCAAUGGACGAGAGUCUGAACCAGCCAAGUAGCGUGCAGGAAGACGGCCCUAUGGGUUGUAAACUGCUUUUAUAAGGGAAUAAAGUGAGUCUCGUGAGACUUUUUGCAUGUACCUUAUGAAUAAGGACCGGCUAAUUCCGUGCCAGCAGCCGCGGUAAUACGGAAGGUCCGGGCGUUAUCCGGAUUUAUUGGGUUUAAAGGGAGCGUAGGCCGGAGAUUAAGCGUGUUGUGAAAUGUAGACGCUCAACAUCUGAACUGCAGCGCGAACUGGUUUCCUUGAGUACGCACAAAGUGGGCGGAAUUCGUGGUGUAGCGGUGAAAUGCUUAGAUAUCACGAAGAACUCCGAUUG